CUGCCUUUUGAUGUAUUUGGCACCGGCUACGUUGUGGAAGGCCUGAGUGUAUCACUACGAAGGCCAUACAUGCCUUGCUUUGCUCAGAAACAGUUAGCGGCUACCAACAGCAAUAUCACGCUUCACUUAAGUAGAUGCUCCAUAUGGGGACACAAAUGCAUUAACCUAAUAGAACAACAGACUGCAAGACCAGGUACCCAAAAACUCUUAGCAUAGCACAAAAAUUAACAAGUUCACCAGGUCAAAUAGCCAUUAAGUAACAAGCAAACUCUUCCAAAAAAGACAACUGUUUCGACACUGAAUUUGAGUCCUAGAUAGGUUCUUUUGUCACCGCCAUCACGAUCCCAAGCACUGAUCCGCUUAC
rnacentral:lncRNA from 1 species